rnacentral:misc_RNA from 1 species
GGCAUUCAAGUAACCCUUGUCCAGAGGAAUCGUGGAAUCAAAAAAAUACAGAGUCCAUUCCAAACGGGGAUAUUCACGAAGAAUGGAUGAAGCAGAAUUGGAGUAGGCGGGACAACAUGUACAAUUCGGAAUUGCGUCUAAUAAAUGCAUACCUUUAUGAGGACUACAUCGCAGUCACGACGACGAUUCAAUUCAGAACUGGAACCAAUUCACGAGUUGACAAUGUGCGUGGGGCCGUUCUACGGUGCCGAUAGAAAAUGGCUCCAGCUUGUGGAAUUUGUGGAGCACAUGCGGAUAUUUGAAGUAUCAAUGUUCUUCUUUACUGUAUUCGAUAUGGAUGCGUAUUCCCGUCUGGCGUUGGAUGAAUACGAGCGGCAGGGGAUCGCCGAGACUACAGUAAUCCAGACAGAGUAUGAGCAACUCGAUUGGAUGUUCCACUUGCUGCAGCUUCAUGACUGUUUCCAUCGCAGCAAAUACAUCUCAAGAUGGGUCAUAAAUGCAGAUAUUGACGAGCGAUUCGUGAUGUUUCAGCCAGAAACUACCCUUAUUCAACUCCUUCGGUCCCAGGAUGCAAAUGUUGGGGAGCUGAAUUUUCAGGCGCGACGGAUUCAAAAAACCGAAAACUCACCGCAGAAAUUCACCAAUCUGCAAGACACCAUCGAAAACCUGGAGGCGCUGAAAUUCCGGAACACUACUAGAACUCAAAUCUGGGAAUCUUCAAAAAGUAUAUACCGCCCGGAAAUGGUCGCCGUACAAACCUACCAUCACACUCAUCUACAGUAUCCCGGCGUUAUCGUGAAAAAUGUUCCCAGGGAGACUGCCGGGUUUAGACACUACCGAAUGACCUCCGUCAGAAAUAGUAUCGGAAAUGGUUGGAUUUACGGCGACAACUUCACUAUAACCGAGCUGGAUAGGGAGCUGGAGAAGCUUCUGGUGCAUAAAGUUGCUAAUAUGGCUGAGCAUAUUUAUGGGUCUUGAAAUGAAGAAAUUGCAGUAACUUACUGUACCGGUUUUGUAUUCCUUUUUUUUCAUGUCGAAAUAAAUCAAAUC